CGCGCGGAGCUGAGGGUGCUGGGGCGAACCCCGAGCGGAGACAGGGUGCUGGGGCGAACCCCGAGCGGAGACAGGGUGCUGGGGCGAACCCCGAGCGGAGACAGGGUGCUGGGGCGAACCCCGAGCGGAGACAGGGUGCUGGGGCGAACCCCGAGCGGAGACAGGGUGCUGGGGCGAACCCCGAGCGGAGACAGGGUGCUGGGGCGAACCCCGAGCGGAGACAGGGUGCUGGGGCGAACCCCGAGCGGAGACAGGGUGCUGGGGCGAACCCCGAGGGAAGACUGGGUGCUGGGGCGAACCCCGAGCGGAGACAGGGUGCUGGGGUGAACCCUGCCCUCGGAGGUCUACGCCGCGCCUGGCUGUUGGGGGGCGGGGGUCACAGGGUAUAGGCGGUGGUUAAACGAGGGAGUCGUUGGGCCGGGAACAGUGGAACCCAGACGUGAAGUCCAUUCUCUGGCGGCUGCAGAGAGUGAAUUUGCAAUGCCGAUUAAUCGAUUAAUCGCCUGGCUGAUUUCUCAGGUUUUAGACCGAGAUGGCAGUAAGGUCAGAUACUCCUACCGUGGAGGUACCGAUGUUGACAAGCCCUACUGUGUUUUCGGCCCAACUUAAAGGAAUUUCACAGAAUCUUCUUGCAGUGUAUACCCAGUAAGAGAACAGGAACUUUGACAUCGGUUAAGAGCUUGGCUGCUGACCGAAAGGUUGCUGGUUCAAACCCACCCAGUGGCUCUUUGGGAGAAAGACCAGAUGGUCUGCUUCCCUAAAGAUUACUGCGUAGAAAACCCUAUGGGGCAGUUCUAUCCUGUCACAUGGCACCUAACAGCAACAACAGACUUGGCCUGGGUUCUUCCUCCAACUGGUUGUGUGACCUCAGCUGAGGAAACAGGCCCAGAGUAAGCAAGUGACUCGCGGGAGGUCACGCAGCUUUGACUUCCUACCACACGACUCAGAGAAGAACCAAUGGUUUGUCCUCUCCCUCCACAGCUUUAAGUUAGGUCCCUCCUCCACAUCCCUGCCCCGUAGCUCCAUUGCUGUUAAAAUGCACCUGAAUGCGUUUUAGGGGGCAGUGGUGGUUCGGAGGUAGAAGUCUUGCCUGUCAUGCUGGGUUUGACUCUCAGUCGGUGUAGCCCAGGCACAGUCACCACCUGUCUGCCAGUGGAAGCUUUGGUGUUCUCUGAUGCUAACUUCCAGACAGACUGUCAGCCAGUGGAAACCCUGUGGAUCACAACAGUUCGAGCCUGUUGUGCGUGGUGUCACCAUGGGUUGGAGGCCAACUCGACGGCAGCUGACAACAACAACAACAAAUGGCAUUUUAAUAAAUGAAACCUUAGUAAUUAUUCCUGGAUAGCCUUAACAUUUCUUAUUCCAAAGUCUGUGCAUUUUUAGUCCAAAGUCACCUCGAGGUGAUGUCCUGGAGGACAGGGACCACAUAGAGGAGGCUCUGUCUGUCAUCUCUCACAGGACCCUACAGGAGAGGAAAGACGGGUAAUUUAUUAGCAAUGAAGUAAAGGGAGGGAGAGCUCCUAGGAAGGCCUAUGGCUGGGCCUCCCUCAGCACCAGGACCUCCAUGGGUUAUCCCCUCCCUCCUGGCUUAGUCCCCGUUUCCACCCAGCAGAACCCGAGACCAGUCGCUUGGACCACACUCCCAGACUCCAAUCCGUAGGCCUGUCUCUUGGCUUCAAGCACACAGUCUACCUCCCACACAGGAUCCAGAGGAUUGAACGCAACUUAAGAAAGUUCCAUAAACGGAGCAUGUGCCUCAAUGACAAAAGUUAGUUGUCCAGUCAGGUUUGCUCCUAAUUUGCUUCCUAAUUCCUUCCCCAGAGUGGAUAUCCCAGCCUUUACUAAUUCACUUGAGCCCUAGGGGAAGGACAACCCCUUUGAAGGCCCGACUCAGACGUCACCUCUGAGAAGCCUUUGGUGUCAUAGUGAAACCAGUGGCUUCACGUUUCAAACUGCCUGUGUUCAAAUUCGAGCCACCAACUACUAGCUGUGUGACUUCAGGCAAGUUGCUUAAUCUCUCUGAACCGAGUUCUUCGUCUAUAGGAGUAAUAGUCCUUGUGGUACUGGUUUUCACUAUUCUUGCUAUUUUUAAGGUCUGAAAUAUUGGUAUUUGUUGGUGCCAUACUUCUAAUUGUUUUAAAAAAUCUGAAAUAUUGUUUUCGUGUGGAAUUAAGAUCAUUGACGUAAAUAUUCAAUUUAUAUGAAAAGACAUGCUGAUACUCUACAAAUGUACAUAGACCCUUCUCUUGCAAGCACAAGCGUUACUCGGGGUCAGAGGCUUUGCCGACAAGUGAGUGUGGACGUGAGAAAAUUGAAACUGACACAUGGAAUCUCCACCUAUAACCCUCCUGCUCGAUCUCAGAGCUCAGACACAGAGCAGCAGUCCCCACAAGGUGAGUCAGCCACACAUG